GAUGAAGAACGUAGCAAAAUGCGAUAAGUAAUGUGAAUUGCAGAAUUCAGUGAAUCAUCGAAUCUUUGAACUCACAUUGCGCCCGCCAGUAUUCUGGCGGGCAUGCCUGUUCGAGCGUCAUUUCAACCCUCAAGCACAGCUUGGUGUUGGGACUCGCGUUAAUUCGCGUUCCCCAAAUUGAUUGGCGGUCACGUCGAGCUUCCAUAGCGUAGUAGUAAAACCCUCGUUACUGGUAAUCGUCGCGGCCACGCCGUUAAACCCCAACUUCUGAAUGUUGACCUCGGAUCAGGUAGGAAUACCCGCUGAACUUAAGCAUAUCAAUAAGCGGAGGA
rnacentral:misc_RNA from 1 species